UUUCGAUGAUGUAACAAAUUAUUCAGUUCUGCUACCGAGUGAUCGUGAGCGAUAAACCAAACAUACCAAAAAUACUAUCUGAUGC
rnacentral:snoRNA from 1 species